GCCGCCUUGGCUAAGUGGUAUAGCGCCUCACUAGUAUAGCUAGGGAGAUGAGGAGAUCAUCAGUUCGAUUCUGAUAGGUGGCA